AUUUAUAUAAUAUAUGUAGUAU
rnacentral:tRNA from 1 species